UUUUUUUCUUUUUCUCUCUGUCCUCUAGAAAUGAUGAGAGGAUCACAUGAGGAGCUGGCACGGAGACCCAGGACCCUUGGACGUCGGAAGAGGCAUCGAACACAUAGAUCUGCCGAUGAACACCAUCGCCCAAGGUUUCUUUCAAGGAAAGGAGGAAGGAAAUAUACUUCCCAAGCCUCUGUCCAGCCGGUCUUUUUACUCUGAAACCACCGAUGACCGAGGAACCCCCUCCGCAACGUUAAACGCCCGUAAUUUCCCUCUGCUUCCCCCCGGCGGCUCCGGCGCACCGCCACCGCGCGAUCUUAUCGCCGCGUGAUCAUUAUUCACCGGUGACAAGCGGAGAUGCGGAGCUCCUAAGUGAGGGUGACAGAUUUCAAACGUGGUGCUGCGGCGUGCUCAGCCUCAAGACAUAUUCUUCCUCAAACUUUGCCUAGCAAGCAAGUCGGCGUCUUAACUCUUUGGAUCCCUGCUUGUUGCACGGGCACGGCUUACUUGCUGGGGGACUCUUCAUUACAUGUCCUUUUCUGUUCUUGAAUUGAAACAAAUCAGAACCGCCAACUCUGGGGAGCAGUUGGAGAGCUGAAUACUUCUGUGGUUAGGGACUGGAAAAAUCCUCCCGGCAAAGCAGUUCCUGGGGGACUCACCUGCAGUCCCUUCGUCGCCAGGUUUGGUAUGCAAAGCAUCGCAUGCAUCGUAUGGAAUUCACACAGAAUUGCAUUUUCCUCAGCUUGUUGUGGCUAAAAGUACGUAUCUGAAAGCGCUAUUUCACUCAGGCUUUCAGCUCCGUCCCCUCUACAGGUUAUCAAUAACAGCAGAGCAAAUGAGAAGAAGAGUUUAUUUCCAUAGGGGAUAAAAAUAAAUAAAUAAAUAAAUAAAUAAA